GUGGGUGUAGCUCAGCUGGCAGAGCACCUGGUUGUGGUCCAGGUUGUCGCGGGUUCAAAUCCCGUCACUCACCCCA
rnacentral:tRNA from 1 species